UGAUCCUGGCUCAGAUUGAACGCUGGCGGCAUGCCUUACACAUGCAAGUCGAACGGCAGCACGGGCUUCGGCCUGGUGGCGAGUGGCGAACGGGUGAGUAAUACAUCGGAACGUGCCCUGUAGUGGGGGAUAACUAGUCGAAAGAUUAGCUAAUACCGCACACAACCUGAGGGUGAAAGCGGGGGACCGUAAGGCCUCGCGCUACAGGAGCGGCCGAUGUCUGAUUAGCUAGUUGGUGGGGUAAGAGCCUACCAAGGCGACAAUCAGUAGCUGGUCUGGAGAGGACGAUCGGCCACACUGGGACUGAGACACGGGCCAGACUCCUACGGUAGGCAGCAAUGGGGAAUUUUG
rnacentral:rRNA from 1 species